AACCUGAACCCAUUAAAAAACCCUAAAUACUUUUAAAAAGAAACCUGAAAAGACCCUAAAAAACUAAAAAAAAAAAAACAAAAAACAAAACCCACUAAAAUUCUAAAAAAACAAAACAAAACAAACUUCUAGAACUCUGAAAAGGCCCAGAAAACCCUAAAUCCAUUAAAAAAAAAAAAAAAAAAAAGAACCCUGAGGCCUUAAAAAAAUCGCCUAAGAAACCCUGUCUCCAAAACUCAAAAAAAGAGAGAGAGAGAGAAGGAAGGAAGGAAGAUUACUUUAUGGACAUUUUGUACUUCCUGUGUUUUUUUUUUUAAUUUUAGGGUUUUUUUUUUUUAGCGAUUUUAGGUUUUUUUAAAGAUUAUUUUAGAGUAUUUUUGGUUUUCAGGGUUUUAGUGUAUGCUUAGGGUUUUUUUGUUUUGUUUUGUUUUUAAGAUUUAGAGUGUUGUUUUUUUGGCUUUAGGGAUAUUCUUUAGGGUUUUUCUAUUUUUUUAGUUUAUUAUUGUGUGUGUUCAACUUUAAUGUCGGGGGACACGCCUUAUAAAGAAAAGGGGAGCAGGUCCAUUCCCGCCAAUGCGUCCAUGCAGCCUGGAAGCAGCUGCAGGUGAUGACGUCAGGAUGGGGCGUGGCCUCCAGAGCAGCUCCGGGGCUCCCAGCAGGCAGCAGUGCCGUGAAGAGGAGCCGCGGCAGGGGCGGAACCAUAGAGGGAUCCAGGGAGGAAGCUCCGCCCCAGGUGAUCUCCUUAGUGCAGCAGGGUCGAGCUCUGGCUUGGCCUGCUUCAGGCUAUGGAAGGCGACCCCCGAGCCCCCCAAAACAUAAAACGCUUAACAUAAAAACCUAAACGACCAUGAAACGCUAAAAAAUAAAACCCUAAAAAAACCCUAAAGCCAUAAAAAAACCAAAAACCCUUAAAAGCCCUACAAUACUUAAAGAUACCCAAGACAAACACU
rnacentral:lncRNA from 1 species